CCUACGGUGAGCUGCAGUGGGGAAUAUUGCGCAAUGGGCGAAAGCCUGACGCAGCGACGCCGCGUGAGGGAUGAAGGUCUUCGGAUCGUAAACCUCUGUCAGCAGGGAAGAACGGUCACUGUGCUAAUCAGCAGUGAAUUGACGGUACCUGCAAAGGAAGCACCGGCUAACUCCGUGCCAGCAGCCGCGGUAAUACGGAGGGUGCGAGCGUUAAUCGGAAUUACUGGGCAUAAAGCGCUCGUAGGCGGUAUGUCAAGUCAAGGGUGAAAUCCCCGCGCUCAACGUGGGAACUGCCUUUGAAACGGGCAAACUGGAGUGUGUGAGAGGAUAGUGGAAUUCCAGGUGUAGGAGUGAAAUCCGUAGAUAUCUGGAGGAACAUCAGGGGCGAAGGCGACUAUCUGGCACAUAACUGACGCUGAGGAGCGAAAGCGUGGGUAGCAAACAGGAUUAGAUACCCCAGUAGUC
rnacentral:rRNA from 1 species